GUGCUUGCAAUCUCGCUAAACAGGUUUGUGAAUUGUACUGUGAUCUUCAAUAUGUAUCUUUCGUUGGAAUUGUUGCAUCCUCUUGUUUGGUGUAGAGAAUGUCAAGUGAAAACAAGAGUUACUUCUUUGUCAGAAUCAUAUGAUUUCCAGCUGUUAUCAUUUCCAAAUUGAAAAUAUUAAUAUUAUUUGGCUUCUAGGAUGUUUUCGUUAGAUUUACGACAUAAUCCCAUUUUCACCAAAAUCCGUAGUACUCGAUUAAUUAAUGAUUUGGCUUUUCAAGGUGGUUGAAUAAUUUUAUACUAUUUAUGUGGAUUUACAGUUUGCUUAUCAUGGUAUGCUCUCCCCCUCCCCUAAUUUUAUUUCUUGAAUUUAUCAGGCUUUUGAUGAGG
rnacentral:misc_RNA from 1 species